UCCGUAGGUGAACCUGCGGAAGGAUCAUUAGUGAUUUGGCCGAGAGGCCUCUAUCCAAUCCUCACACCUGUGAACAUGUCGGUGGGACCCUUGAAGGAGGGGACCGCCGGACACACCACACUAUGUGUAAUGAACGUGAUGUAUAGUAACAAAAACAAAACUUUCAACAACGGAUCUCUUGGCUCUCGCAUCGAUGAAGAACGCAGCGAAAUGCGAUAAGUAAUGUGAAUUGCAGAAUUCAGUGAAUCAUCGAAUCUUUGAACGCACCUUGCGCCUCUUGGUAUUCCGAGAGGCAUGCCUGUUUGAGUGUCAUGAAACAUCAAUCCCCGAGGGUUUUCUCGACCCCCGGUGGACUUGGACUUGGGCGUCUGCCUCCCCAGGCUCGCCUCAAAUGACUCAGUGGGAACUGUUGACCCAUGCCUGACGUGAUAAGUUUCGUCAACGGCCGGUCUUCAUGGCCUGCUCACAACACCCCAUAUACCUUUUGACAUUGACCUCAAAUCAGGUAGGGCUACCCGCUGAACUUAAGCAUAUCAAUAAGCGGAGGA
rnacentral:rRNA from 1 species